rnacentral:rRNA from 1 species
GAGUUUGAUCAUGGCUCAGAGUGAACGCUGGCGGCAGGCCUAACACAUGCAAGUCGAACGGCAGCACGGCAGUAGCAAUACUGUGGGUGGCGAGUGGCGGACGGGUGAGGAAUACAUCGGGAUCUACCCUGUUGUGGGGGAUAACGUAGGGAAACUUACGCUAAUACCGCAUAAGAACUGAGGUUGAAAGCGGCGGACCGCAAGGCGUCGCGCGAUUGGAUGAACCGAUGUCCGAUUAGCUAGUUGGCGGGGUAAAGGCCCACCAAGGCGACGAUCGGUAGCUGGUCUGAGAGGACGACCAGCCACACUGGAACUGAGACACGGUCCAGACUCCUACGGGAGGCAGCAGUGGGGAAUAUUGGACAAUGGGCGCAAGCCUGAUCCAGCCAUGCCGCGUGGGUGAAGAAGGCCUUCGGGUUGUAAAGCCCUUUUGUCCGGAAAGAAAAGCAUUCGGUUAAUACCCGGGUGUUCUGACGGUACCGGAAGAAUAAGCACCGGCUAACUUCGUG